rnacentral:rRNA from 1 species
AGCAGUAGCCACGGUAAUACGUAGGUCCCGAGCGUUGUCCGGAUUUAUUGGGCGUAAAGCGAGCGCAGGCGGUUAGAUAAGUCUGAAGUUAAAGGCUGUGGCUUAACCAUAGUACGCUUUGGAAACUGUUUAACUUGAGUGCAAGAGGGGAGAGUGGAAUACCAUGUGUAGCGGUGAAAUGCGUAGAUAUAUGGAGGAACACCGGUGGCGAAAGCGGCUCUCUGGCUUGUAACUGACGCUGAGGCUCGAAAGCGUGGGGAGCAAACAGGAUUAGAUACCCCAGUAGUCCCUGUCUCUUAUACA